rnacentral:rRNA from 1 species
CAAGACGGAAAGACCCCGUGAACCUUUACUAUAGCUUGACACUGAACAUUGAGCCUUGAUGUGUAGGAUAGGUGGGAGGCUUUGAAGCGUGGACGCCAGUCUGCGUGGAGCCGGCCUUGAAAUACCACCCUUUAAUGUUUGAUGUUCUAACGUGGACCCGUAAUCCGGGUUGCGGACAGUGUCUGGUGGGUAGUUUGACUGGGGCGGUCUCCUCCUAAAGAGUAACGGAGGAGCACGAAGGUUGGCUAAUCCUGGUCGGACAUCAGGAGGUUAGUGCAAUGGCAUAAGCCAGCUUGACUGCGAGCGUGACGGCGCGAGCAGGUGCGAAAGCAGGUCAUAGUGAUCCGGUGGUUCUGAAUGGAAGGGCCAUCGCUCAACGGAUAAAAGGUACUCCGGGGAUAACAGGCUGAUACCGCCCAAGAGUUCAUAUCGACGGCGGUGUUUGGCACCUCGAUGUCGGCUCAUCACAUCCUGGGGCUGAAGUAGGUCCCAAGGGUAUGGCUGUUCGCCAUUUAAAGUGGUACGCGAGCUGGGUUUAGAACGUCGUGAGACAGUUCGGUCCCUAUCUGCCGUGGGCGCUGGAGAACUGAGGGGGGCUGCUCCUAGUACGAGAGGACCGGAGUGGACGCAUCACUGGUGUUCGGGUUGUCAUGCCAAUGGCACUGCCCGGUAGCUAAAUGCGGAAGAGAUAAGUGCUGAAAGCAUCUAAGCACGAAACUUGCCCCG